rnacentral:lncRNA from 1 species
UGUUAAUUAAUAACAUUAAUUGAUGAUAUUAAUAAUGGGACAUUUCAAUUAUCCAGACAUCUACUAGAACUCUCUGCCCUAAGAAGAUCCAUAGAACAUUGAUUUCUUGAUGAUAACAUCAUCUUUCAAAAGCUAGAGGAACCAACAAGGACUGACAGGCACUGGGCUGAAUCUAAGAUAAAAUUCAACAUUGAUAAAUAUGAAAUUUCACAUAUGGAAAAAUCACUUUUAUGAGAACAGGACAAGGUGAUGUGACUGGCUGAAAAGGGGGCUUGUCUAAAGAAGAGCUGGGGGUUUUGUAAUCUAGAGGUAUUACAAAUUGU